UUUGCACCUAAAAAACAGGGUGAUGGUGGUAAGGACCUUCCCACAGAAGCAAAGAAGCUUCAGCUGAAUUCUGCAGAGGAGCUGUAUGCUGAGAUCAGAGAUAAAAACUUCAAUGCCGUGGGCUCCGUGCUUAGCAAGAAAGCAAAGGUGAUCUCUGCAGCAUUUGAGGAAAGGCACAACGCCAAGACGGUUGGGGAGAUCAAGCAGUUUGUUUCACAGCUGCCCCACAUGCAGGCAGCACGAGGCUCCCUCGCAAAUCACACCUCGAUUGCAGAGCUGAUCAAAGAUGUAACUACAAUUAGAACAAGAGAAAUGUGAAAGAUGAUUUGAGAACCAAGAAGGGGAGGACGUGUGUCUGAGCUGGAGACUAGUGUGAAACAGCUUCAGUUUGAGUUGGAGAGUCAGCCAGUAAGAAAGCAGAUUGAGAAGAAACACGGACUGUCCAGAAAUUAUCAGAACAGAACCAAAGGUUAUUGGAUCAGCUCAGCAGGGUCCAACUUUCUCUGUUCCUCUCCAUUGCCCCUUGUCUGUGUGGACUCACUGCCAGAAAUGAAACUGACAAAAGCAAAGUAUCUGUAGAGGGAAGAGGAAUGAAGCUGGGAGAGGAUCUAAGCAAGCAAAAUGUAACAUCUCUUGAGGAUGCUACAGAAGGAAGAGAUGUGAACACUUUGACAUGAAUAAAUAUUGUACUUCCA